rnacentral:rRNA from 1 species
AUUGAACGCUGGCGGCAUGCUUUACACAUGCAAGUCGAACGGCAGCACGGGCUUCGGCCUGGUGGCGAGUGGCGAACGGGUGAGUAAUGCAUCGGAACGUACCCAUUUGUGGGGGAUAACUACGCGAAAGCGUGGCUAAUACCGCAUACGCCCUGAGGGGGAAAGCGGGGGAUUCUUCGGAACCUCGCGCAAAUGGAGCGGCCGAUGUCAGAUUAGCUUGUUGGUGAGGUAAAGGCUCACCAAGGCGACGAUCUGUAGCGGGUCUGAGAGGAUGAUCCGCCACACUGGGACUGAGACACGGCCCAGACUCCUACGGGAGGCAGCAGUGGGGAAUAUUGCACAAUGGAGGAAACUCUGAUGCAGCGACGCCGCGUGGAGGAUGACGGCCUUCGGGUUGUAAACCUCUGUCAUGGGGGAAGAAGUAAGUGACGGUACCCCAAGAGGAAGCCCCUGCUAACUACGUG